UUUUAAACUGUGAUUAAAAUCUUUUUGCCUCCACAGGGAGAAACCACAGACAUACAGAGGCAACAUCAAAUCUCAGCAAGUCUCUCCAAGUGUUGGGAUACCUUCAAGGGCUCCUUAGGCAUUCUCACUGCCAGAACCAGAA
rnacentral:lncRNA from 12 species